ACAAGGCAGCUACCCAGAAAUUUUCUGUGCUGAAUAAAUGGCAAUAUUUUGGUUAUUGUCUUGUUUAGAUAUCUGAAGAAUUUCAUCGGAUCACAAGCAAAGACCUCCUGGGGACGUUCAAUGCAUCCCUGGACAAAUUUGUGCCUGGCCUGCUGAAACUAUACCGGUCUAAGAAGGGAGCUCUUGGUGAGGAGAUGGAAGACAUCUUGGAUAAACUUGAUGAACAGACAUCUGACAUUGUGUCCCACCAAAAGACAGCAGCACUGAGAGGCCUGCCCAUUUUCCUCGGAGAGGAUGCAACACAGGUUUUCCUGAAGUGCUUAGACACUGACAUUUUGGAACCAGUGUUGAACGGUGCAUCAGUUGCCAUCCUCACCAUCCUGCAAGAUGACGAUGC